rnacentral:tRNA from 1 species
GCUUCUAUAGGCUCAGUGGUUAGAGCGUAAGUCUCUUAAACGAAAGGUUGCGAGAUCGAAUCCCGCUAGAGGCU